ensembl:lncRNA
GAUAGAGCUGUGACCAUGAUCACAAUUGAUAACUUCCAAAUGAAUGAACUAAACAUGAGCCAUUAAUAAUUACAUAAUAACACAAGGCUACAACAAUAAACUGAAGUUAUAGGCUGUUUAUCCAUUUGCCAACUCCAGGUAGGCUACACAAGUCGAUUUGCAAUAUCGUCAUUUCAACAUAUGUAUUGUAUCAAAUAGUAGGCUACAGAAAUGUAGAAAUGUCAUGGAGGUCGCGGUGCAAUUUAGAAGCAGCCCAAAAACCCGCCACCCCGCGACCAAUACAAUACAUCAGAUUCCUAAUGAUGUCACAGAUUUGUUUGCAAUGAAAUCAUUCAAACAGACAGAUUAUGGCGUUGGAGAAAUAUGAUAGGCCUAUGUGUUCAUCUUGUCUCUCUGUCCAUUCUGUAAUUUCUGUGUUAUUAAAAAAAAGUCUAAAUGGCGUAGAAUUGCAUGACAUUUAAAAAAAAAAAAAAUUUUAAUUAUUGGAUCUACGAAUAUGAUAAUAGAUUCAUGCAAUGAUUUUUACUAUAACGGAGAUCUUUCCACGGUGGUCUGCGAACCCACAACCUUCUAGCCUGCAGCCCUGUGCGCUAUCAAAAUUCCUGCGUUGCCAUGUAAUGCUUAGAGGACGAAGAACAGUUUCUAAAACUACAUAUCUAAGGCUCUGUCCAAGAAGUGAGGGUAAACAGUAGACAUGUUCUCUGCUAUCCACUUUGUCUUAAUUAUUGUUUUGGGUAUUAGGGGAGGGUCAUUUUUUCUUCAAGCGUUCAGGAAGGGUUUAGGUGAAAUAUAUUUUGCUGAAGGGAGGGCCAUCCAUUUUCAUUUCAGAGAGGUCCGAUUUUCUCCAUGUAACCCUCAUUAUAAAUAAUGUUCACUCCCUAAGGUUGUUAAAAAGCUGCUUCAGUCCAUCUUUGGGUUUGGACCUGAAGAGAACCAUGGUCAUCCAAUAGUCCAGCAGCCCCCACCCAAAACAUGAUGGAACCAUGCCUAAAGGUUCCAACCUCACUAGUGUAGCCCAGAAUAACACCACCGCCCAGCGCCCACAUUCCCAACCUACAGUGUUAGGCAGCACAGCGCUCCCCUUCUCCACCACCCACACCCCAGCCCUGUACAGGGCGUACAGCCUAUGAUUGAUGAC